rnacentral:rRNA from 1 species
CCUACGGGCGGCAGCAGUGAGGAAUAUUGGUAAAUGGACGCAAGUCUGAACCAGCCAUGCCGCGUGCAGGAAGACGGCUCUAUGAGUUGUAAACUGCUGUUGUACGAGGGUAAACGCAGAUACGUGUAUCUGUCUGAAAGUAGCGUACGAAUAGGGAUCGGCUAACUCCGUGCCAGCAGCCGCGGUAAUACGGAGGAUUCAAGCGUUCUCCGGAUUUAUUGGGUUUCAAGGGUGCGUAGGCGGUCUGAUAAGUUAGAGGUGAAAUCCCGUGGCUCCACUUCGGAAUUGCCUCUGAUACUGUUCGGCUAGAUCGUAGUUGCGGUAGGCGUCCUGUGUGGUGUAGCGGU